GUUCUAUCAGAUAUAAAAUAUGAGAUAUAAGUUAACCAGCACCAGGUUUGUUAUUCACUCUUUGCCCAUCAGUUCUAUCAGAUAUAAAAUAUAAGAUAUAAGUCAUCCAGCACUGGGUUUGUUACUCUAUGCCCAUCAGUUCUAUCUGAUAUAAAAUAAUAGUUACCCA